GAUGAACGCUAGCUACAGGCUUAACACAUGCAAGUCGAGGGGCAGCAUGAACUUAGCUUGCUAAGUUUGAUGGCGACCGGCGCACGGGUGAGUAACACGUAUCCAACCUGCCGAUGACUCGGGGAUAGCCUUUCGAAAGAAAGAUUAAUACCCGAUGGCAUAGUUCUUCCGCAUGGUAGAACUAUUAAAGAAUUUCGGUCAUCGAUGGGGAUGCGUUCCAUUAGGCUGUUGGCGGGGUAACGGCCCACCAAGCCUUCGAUGGAUAGGGGUUCUGAGAGGAAGGUCCCCCACAUUGGAACUGAGACACGGUCCAAACUCCUACGGGAGGCAGCAGUGAGGAAUAUUGAUCAAUGGACGAGAGUCUGAACCAGCCAAGUAGCGUGAAGGAUGACUGCCCUAUGGGUUGUAAACUUCUUUUAUACGGGAAUAAAGUGAGGCACGUGUGCCUUUUUGUAUGUACCGUAUGAAUAAGGAUCGGCUAACUCCGUG
rnacentral:rRNA from 1 species